rnacentral:lncRNA from 1 species
UGUGUAUUUAUCUUUUUUUGUAUCAUUUGACAACAAGGUGUCUUUAUCAUUACCAUCAUCAUGAUCAUUAUUUCCAUUUUGCCUGUUUAAAGACAAUAACCCAUUCCUUUUUAGUUUCCCAUAUACUAACAAAUGGUUUAUAAUAUGUAAAAUAAAGUGGGAUACAAAAAAAUAGUGAAGAUGAUGUUGGAAACAUACAUUUUUAAUACCCCUUUCUUCUAACUCCUGCCAAAAUAGUACUCACAGAAUAAAAUGACUAUGAUGGAUGAAUGGAUGGGAGAAAUCUCAGUACAUUACAGAUUUUACAACUUUCAUAGAAGAUUGUCUGGGAUGCCUGAGUGAGCCCAGGGCUUCUAAAUUAACAGUAGAAUCUGGGGAAAUACCCACAGAAUACAUGGCUGUUGCAGGUGUCAGAGCAUUGGUUUGAUGGUUUGAUGAGCUGCCUGUCAUAUACAUAUUCUGCUGGUGGACUCUGAGUUGAUGAUGGAACUUUAAUUGCUUCAUUAUGUCUCGCAGAAUCACACAAUCCUCCCCUGUACAUGAAGAAACCUGGAAGCAGAGAAGCUAUCCAAUCUCCCCAUGUCCCUCAGCCAGUGAUCCACUGAAAAAAGCUUUCAUCUUAAUAAUAACAAAUCGGAGGACUCAAGAUGGCGCUGUGAGAACAACCCAGGAUUGGAGCUCUCGUUGAAUCCGCAAACAGGUGAGUCGGAGCUGCAUUUACAGACUGAUCUUUGUUGCCCACAGAACGGGGAAACUCCCAAGUAUAAAAAAGACACGGGAUGCCAGGCAGUAGGUCUGCCUGGCGAAGCCGGCAGCCGGGGUGGUGGCGGCCGGCCCUACCCAGCAAUCCCCACAGGGUGCGCUUGUCCAGGUGCCCUGUUGAACCAGCAACCUGAGACUUGAGAGGGCUGGACUUGAGACUGAACGAGACUUGGACAGUAGGCCAGCCCAGGGGAUUGCAGGGACAGAUCGUUUGGGAUACCCAGUGGGACGAACAAAACCGCGAUUUCAAACUAUCCCGAGCAGACAGUCCGAGACGCUCUGUGGGGGAGGGGCGUCCACCAUUACAGAGGCAACCCGCCCCAACUGAGAUACACGCCCACUGCUGAUGCAGCCAGCCAUUGCCGAGGCAACCCGUCCCUACUGAGAUACACGCCCACUGCUGACGCAGCCUGCCGUUGCCGAGGCAACCCGUCCCUACUGAGAUACACGCCCACUGCUGACGCAGCCUGCCAUUGCUGAGGCAACACGCUACAACGAAGAGACUCCGCCGCAGGGCGUGGCGGAGACCAAAGCAGAGCCUGCAGGAACAAGGCGAAUCACACAACAGCAGGGCGGAGCUUCGGCAGCCAAACAGUGGCUACUCUGCCUUCUAGCUGGGCAGGACAUCUCAUCGGACAUCGAAAAAUAAAGCCCAAACCCCCCAACACAGAGCAUUUGAGAAAAAAAGGGUUUUUUUAAAUGAGCUCUGUUGCAGCAGAAUCAAACAUAGCAGCCUAACAGCCCUAAAUGAACAACAGAGCUCACAGCUCAGCAAUUGAGCUCCAAAAAAGUACAGACUGUCUCCUCAAGCAGCUCCCUAACCCCUCUAUAUCCAAAAGACUGACAUUUGGCAGGCAUCAUCCUGGGACAAAGAUAGCAGAAAAAGAAACGGGUAGCAUCCCUCACUGAGCCACAGCUGCUAGAGGUGCACCCCAGACAAGCAGGGCCUGGAGUGGACCUCAGCAGUCGUACAGCGAAGGGGCUAGGCUGGAAGAAGGAAAACCAAGUAACAGAAAUACUUCAUCAUCAACAAUCUGGGUGUCCACUCAGAGACCCAAUCGAAAAGUCAGCAACUAUGCAGACGACAAGCGGAUAAACCCACAAAGAUGGGAAGAAACUAGCGAAAAAAGGAGGAAAACACCCGAAACCAGAACACCUCGCCUCCUAGAAAGGACCAAAACUCCUCACCAGCAAGGGAGCAAAGCUGGA